rnacentral:tRNA from 1 species
GGAAGGUUAGGAUAAGGACCCCCUCAGUAUAAGGAUAAGGAGUCCUUAUCCUAACCUUCCU